GGAGAGAUAAUUGGGGGUUUAGGGUUCGUGUGUGUUUUUUUCAAAUCAACCGAUCAAGCCGCUAUUUCAGGUGAGAUAUAGUACUUAUAUAUGUAUGUAUGUGUAUGGUAUAUGCCAGCUUGUGUGGUGAUUUUGUUAAAAUCGAUGGUGGCUGGGGCUUGGGUUGCUGAUUGGUGGCCAUGGUGGCGUGGCCACCGGAGACUAGUCGCAGGGUUGUACAGAUGCUGGGAUGUAGACACUUGAGCAAUUGAAGUAUUUCUGCAAGCACACCAAGAAUCAUCGCACUGGAGCCAAAGAUCGGGUUCUGUAUCUCACUUAUCUCGCGAUUUGCAAGCAGCUCGAUCCCAAAGGCCCCUUUCAUCGUUAAGGAAUCAAGUAUGUGGGGAGAUCUUGAAUUGAUUCAUGUAUUCUGGUUUUUAUAUGUUAUGUUAUGGUUUUAUUAAGUGUGUUAUCAGCUUCUAGAUUAUUAAGUCUUGAGUAGUAAUGAAUGUAAUAUCGCAAUGGCAGUCUUAUCAAGUUGUUUUGUCUGAAAAUCUGAACGCUUUAAAUUCUAUUUGUGAAUGUGCAUGCUAGAUUUGUGUUUUAGUUAUUAUCGAUUGAAUGCCUGGUUUGUUGAUAUACAUUAUGGUGGUGUUUAUAUAUUGGUUGUUUGUUAAUGUGUUCAAUUUUAAAACUGGGAUUUGUAUCUUCGAGAAGGCAAUUCCCCUCUAAAGGACUCGGCCUUUCUAAACACCGCAAACUAUUUAGGCUUGAAAAGCCAGCUUCAUUUAUUUAGUUGCUUCCUCUAAAGGAUUGCUUGAAAAGCCAGGCCACCGGAGAUUGGUUGCAGGUGAGAAUCGACUAUGUGUUUGUAUUAGAUUAUAAGUAGGCACAUGGGUAUUUGCAGGGGUGGGUUCAGGUGGUCCAAAUCGGGGGAAGGCGGUGGUGGUUGGUUGUUGUUGGACUUGGGUGUUUGUAAACGAGGGUGCUGCGGUGCUGCUGAGUUGAAGCAGCAUAGAUAAAUGACGACAAGCUGCAAUUGUAGGCGGGAGAGAUUGAUUUUAAACCCCUGUGACAGAGGUCAUAACCGCAGGAGUUGGUGGUUAAAUCGAGCAGCGGAAGAGGAAACAAACAGAGGUUGAUGAUGAAGUGAAUGCAUUAGCACAACUGAUGACCUGGAAAAUGGCAGUAGCUAACAUACCUUAUGGUGGAGCUAAAGGAGGGAUAGGAUGCAAUCCUGGGGAGUUGAGUAUUUCUGAGCUAGAACGACUUACUAUUUGCAAGGUUAUGCUUAUUGCUUUUUUUUCAUAAUUUAUUGUUGUUUCUGUCUAAAGACUUGUCUGUGCAAUCUUUUUGUCCCGUUCUUAUUAUCUAUUAUGAUUGUCCCGUUCUUAUUAUCUAUUAUGUCUGAUGCCAGGAACUGUCAAUGGAACUGUGGGUGUCAACAAGAUGGCUAUAGUUGAUUCACUUGCAAACCAAGAUGUGGAGAUCUCUCUUUUGGACCUCAACCCCAAAACAAGAUAUAAUUUGCAUGAAAAACUUGUUGAGUCACUAUCUCCUGCAGAACCACCAAAGGCUGAAGAACGUGCACAAGUCAUUAUAGAUAAUGUAUAUGAAAUUAUUAUAACUUGGAUUUGCGCAAAUUACAGGAUUUUUAUUUUAUUUUUCAUUCUUUGUUUUCUUAUGUAAUUUUAGUAAAUUGU